UAGGCUAUGAUUGGUUUGUAGAAAAUGGUAGGUAAAAUUGUGAAAAGUCAAAGUAAUCUACUUUUCUUGUUUGGUUAAAAUGUAAAAUACUGGGUAAAGUAAUUUGUAGAAAAAGGGGAAAACUUUUUUAACCUAAAAUAGGGAAAAUGCAUUUUCCCCCAAAAUAAUGAGGAAAACUAGGAAAAGAGAUCGGGUGUUCUCCACAUCCACACAAUUUCUUCAAUUCGUCACUGUCAUUCCCACCGACCGCCGACCGUCGUCGACCUCACCUGCCUCCGCCGUCGGCUCCACCUCCACCACCACCACCACCGGACCCUCAACGCCGUCAACCGCCACAACCAACAUCCUCUCUCUGUAUUCACUCUCAAAUGGACCACGGCCACCAGCAACCUCUUCGCCGCCGCCGGAAACCUUCGCUCCGCCACUGUACCUCUCAAUCUUCCAUCUGAUCCAGGAAUUUUCCGGCGUUGAUGGGAACAGCCGGUCGAUUAUUGGAUGAUAACGCCGUAUACCUAAUUUUUUUUCUUUAUUUGGAUUACUAGGCUAGGGUGGUGGAGGUGGGGGCGUGAGUGGUGCUGGUGGUGGUGAGAGUUGGGGCCGUGAGUGGUGGUGGUGGGGGUUGGUUUGCGGGGUGCCUUGGUG
rnacentral:lncRNA from 1 species